CUGCCCCCUGGAAGGGGACAAGACAGGGGAGCCUCUCUCGGGGCCACCCACUCAAGAGGCAUCGUUGUCCCCUCUUCCCCUGCGUCCUCAAUUCAAUGGAAGAGAACUUGAAGCCCCUGGGUGCGGCUGGUGUGUGUUACCAAGUGUAAUCCCGAGGGGAAUUCUUCCAUGCCCGCCGUCUCAUCCUCCGCCAUCAGCUGGUUACUGCCGGGACGGCCCGAGUGGGCGGCGACGGGCUCCAUCAGUUUACUGGAUUCCAACUGAGAAAUGUCGCUCAAACAUGGGGAGGUUGGUGAUCUCCCGAUUCACUGACUGCAGGUUGCAGACAUUUGCAGUGGCUGUCAACCAGGAAUCAGCCCAACAGAAAUGCUUGCGCAGCGAUAUGCGUGACGGUGUUUAUGACCACACUGUAAUAGCAACAACGGCCAAAAAAGGAGACUACAUGAAGGUGAUUAAUAGAGGAAUGCCAUUAUUUCUGCAUGUUUGUGUAAUGAAAUACUACUCAGGCAUUAAGAAGAAUGAGUAAUCUUUUGAUGUUCUAACUACCUGGUCUUUGCUGCAAAAACUCCUACAUAUCCUGGCUCCCCCCUCACCUCUUCGGAGCUGUCGCUCAGCGUGGUCUGAGAUGCGGUGUCCCAGGCUUGAAGUAUGCAGCAU